rnacentral:lncRNA from 1 species
GAACAGUGCCCGACACAUACCUGCCCUUCACUUGCUGCUCAUUGAACUUCAUUGACUAAAUCGUUUCCCAAACCAGAACAACGAACAGAAACUGUAACGGGCCAUGUGUCUCGCUAGUGGGAAGGACUUAGAUCGGGCAGCUUGUCAGGGAUUUUCCAAAGAGGGAAAAGCUGUAAGAAUUUAAAUGCAAAAGCAGGGACUUCCCCUUGUGGCCCAGCGGGUUAAGAACCCAGCAUAGUCUCCAUGAGGAUGGGGGUUCGAUCCCUGGCCUUGCUCAGUGGGUUAAGGAUCCGGCGUUGCCGUGAGCUGUGGUGUAGGUCGUAGACGCGGCUCGGAUCCCACGUUGCUGUGGCUCUGGCAUAGGCCAACGUCUAAAGCUCCAGUUAAACCCCUAGCCUGGGAACCUCCAUAUGCUGCAGGAGCAGCCCAAGAAAUGGCAAUAAAUAAAAAAAUAAAAUAAAAUACAAAUUUUAUUUUAAGGCUGAAAGCAAUUAAGAUGCAGAUUCAAUUUUUGAAAGUUCUGCAAAGCAACACCAAGGUACAAUCAGUUUCCUCCUUAAUAUCAAGUUAAGUUUCCUCUACUUCACUGGACCGAUUCCUCUUUAGCCAACUGGCCUCUGGCCUUGCAGUGCUAGUUAAACUGAGUUUAUAGGAAGUAAGCAGUUUUACGUAUAUAAAUUUAUCAACUACUAGCUUUAACUCACACGUGUGAUUUACGUCAAUUGAAUUCAAGAAUUAUUAAAGCCUUAGGAGUGGUUCAGUGGAAACUAAUCUGACGGGCAUCCGUGAGGACACAGGUUUGAUCCUGGCCUCGCUUAGUGGGUUAAGGAUCUGGCAUUGCCGUGAGCUGUGGUGUAGGUCUUAGACGCGGCUCGGAUCUGGUGUUGCUGUGGCUGUGGUGUAGGCCGGCAGCUGUAGCUCCUAUUCAACCCAUAGCCUGGGACCUUCCAUGUGCUGCAGUUGCAGGCCUAAAAAAUAUAAUAAAUAAAAAGCUUUUAUGGGAGUGGAGAGUAGUAAUAAGGGGAGAAAGGUUGAGAAAUACUGGGCUUUAAAAGUCCUGCAUGAUCUGAUGGCCCUCGCUACCUCGUGAGCUUCAAGCCACCCCCACAUCUUAUGUUACACUCCUGCCUUGUACUGCACUGUCCCAGGCUUACUGUCCUGCUGCUGUCAUCCUUGGCCGUAUGACCCGAGUUGCUCUGGCUGGGGAACGGUGAGUGGAAGGGACGUGGGCCAUUCCCAAGCAGAAGCUCUACACAUCAUCUCGUGGCUUUCCUCCUCACUCGUUCCUCCACCUUGAGCCCAACGUGUUCUAGACAGGGGCCACUCCUUCAGCCUGGGUCCCGGAAUGAAGAGGACAUUGAGCAGAGCCAAAACAUGCAAUAUGCCCACGGUGGACAUGUACCUUGGACAAAAAAGUAGAAGUUUAGCUUUUGAGAGCCCCUGAGAUUUGGGAGAUUGGUCGUGACUGCAUCAUAACCCAUCAGUGGGUGACUAAUGGACCCAGCGAUGCCCUUGCUCUCUCUCCACCCCUACUCCUCCCCUCGGCUUUGAGCACAUCCCUCCCUGAUGGGCUCCUGAAUCCUCCUGCUGUCAGCUUAGAUGCUUCUAUCUCUAUUAAGUCAGAACUUCUCCCUUCCCCUCCCCGCCACAGAACACCAGACUAGGUGUCUAUAGUAGGCAGAGUAAUGCCCCCCCCCGACACAUCCGUGUCCUAAUCCCCAGAACAUAUAAAUACGGCAAAAAUCGCAGAUGUGAUUGAGUGAAGGAUUGCAACAAAAAAUUACCCUAAUUAACUAGUUGUGCCCAGUGUAAUCAUAAGGGUCCUUAAAAGAUGGAAGAAGAAAGCAGCAGAAUCAGAGAUGUCGUGACAGAAGGAUUCAGAAUGACUGAAUUGGAGUUCCCGUCGUGGUUCAGCGGAAACCAAUCUGACUAGGAUCCAUGAAGACGCAGGUUUGAUCCCUGGCUUCCUUCAGUGGAUUAGGGAUCUGGCCUUGCCAUGAGCUGUGGUGUAGUUGGCAGGCAUGGCUUGGAUCUGGCAUUGCUGUGGCGGUGGCGUAGGCCAGCUCCAAUUUGACUCCUCGCCUGGGAACCUCCAUAGGCCUCCGGUGGGACCCUAAAAAGACAAAAAAAAAACCAAAAAAAAAAAAA